rnacentral:tRNA from 1 species
GGGGCAAUAGCUCAGUCGGUUAGAGCAGCGGACUCAUAACCCGUAGGUCGCAGGUUCAAAUCCUGCUUGCCCCA